CACGUAGGGCGCGAGCGUUGUCCGGAAUUAUUGGGCGUAAAAGAGCUCGUAGGCGGUUCGUCGCGUCGGCUGUGAAAACCCGGAGCUCAACUCCGGGCCUGCAGUCGAUACGGGCGGACUUGAGUUCGGCAGGGGAGACUGGAAUUCCUGGUGUAGGCGGUGAAAUGCGCAGAUAUCAGGAGGAACACCGGUGGCGAAGGCGGGUCUCUGGGCCGAUACUGACGUGAGGAGCGAAAGCGUGGGGAGCGAACAGG
rnacentral:rRNA from 1 species